GCAAGGGGAGCGGCAGACGGGUGAGUAACGCGUGGGAACGUACCUUUUGCUACGGAAUAACUCAGGGAAACUUGUGCUAAUACCGUAUGUGCCCUUCGGGGGAAAGAUUUAUCGGCAAAGGAUCGGCCCGCGUUGGAUUAGCUAGUUGGUGAGGUAAAGGCUCACCAAGGCGACGAUCCAUAGCUGGUCUGAGAGGAUGAUCAGCCACACUGGGACUGAGACACGGCCCAGACUCCUACGGGAGGCAGCAGCA
rnacentral:rRNA from 1 species